rnacentral:lncRNA from 1 species
UCCUGUUCUGCAUUCACAAGGACAAUUGUCUGUCUCGCGCUUUCAAUUGGUUCGAUGAAACACCAUUACAUCAGGAUUCGAUGCAGCUUGACUGAUGUAUGGUCAGGGAUGUGGCAUAUUUCUUCCACUGUCACGCAGCUAUUCUAGAGUUGGAGGGUGAGGGAGACAGUGGGAUAGCAACAAGAUGAGAGGCUGAUAAACUGUCCAGAAUAACUUAACAGCUGGAUACUUCAUUGAGAUAAUUACUUUCCCCUUUCAGCAGAAACAGCGUUGGGAGAGACAUCAGGAGGGCAUCGACGACCUCCCUGCAGGGAAGAGACAAAUGAUGGAGAAGUUUUUCACUCCUGUUCAUAGUCCUUCUCCAGGUGGGAUGAAACCAGGGAAGCACCGCCAUCACAACCCCGAUCAUCACCACCAGCACCGGGAUCAAGAACGGGAGACACACAGCUACAGCAGGUUACGGGACAAUGAUAGACGCAGCAGUGAAAGCCACGGUCACCACUAUACCCAGGGUAACCAUCCCCAAGAUGACCAGGAGCAACCCCUUAGACGCCACCAUCACCAUCCUCAGCACCUUCAUCAUGACGACGAGAUGUCGGACCACCACACCACCGUUACCCUCUCCAGAGCAUCUUCCUCCUCCCUCUCAUCUUCCCCCUCCGACUCUUCCACCGAAUGGUCCUCUGAGGCCGGCAUUGACGACAAGUUCUCCAUGAAGCACGCCAGCCGGCCGCAGCAUACCAUGUCCUGCUCCAACAUUGCGGGAGGACGACAGUUCCGUGAGGACGACAGCGAGCUGCAGGUGUAUGCCACCGUCAAACAGGGGCGAAUUCACGGAGGAGGCAGUCCUGGGACCCAUCCUCGGGCCCAGGGGAGGGGAGGACGCGAGCCCAGCUACUCCGAGCUAAACCGGGGCCACAGCCGCAGUGAAGAGGGGCUGCUGCAGAACACAGGAGCUGACAGAGGGAAAGUACAGACACCCCCACACCUGAAGCACGGAUCCCUCUACAAGACAGCCAGCCUGGGCCGGAGCCUGGCCUUCAGUGAAGAGGUCUUGGCUGGGCCGAAGAGGGCGGUGUCCUUUAUCCAGCUCCCCAGUAAAGGCAUCCUGAAAAACAAGGAGGCUCCACGGGACAUCCGCAAGGCCAAGUCCAUGGAGGUGCUGUCCCCCCGGGUGGCAGGCAAGGCGGCAGGGCCCAAGGGGAAGCAGGAUGUGGAUGCUCUGAAGGAUGCAGCCAGGCAGAGCAUGGUGAAGGGGAAGAUACAGUUCUCUGCAUUCCUGGAUGAGAUCACUAAACAGGUCAUCAGCCCCGCUCGUCUCAAUACUCUGGGGGUCCCUGUCGAGACGGUAGGACCAUGUCCAGCCAAAGCCCCAGCAUCCCCCAAAUCUCAACCGAAAAGUCAGCCCCAGCUUCCCUCGAAAAAGCAGGGAGAUGGGCAGGGGGAAGAGAGGGAGCCGGCUACUAAACCGCAGGCUCUGCCUAGGAAACUGAGGAAUGACUCUGACACACGGUCACGGAAAAUAUGUCUCCCUGCAAAGUUUGGGUAUGAAAGCAAGAACCACACUCCUCGUCUAGGCAGCCCCCCAACCCUCCACUCCAGCCAACCCUACCCGCCCCACCCACCAGCUGGCUAUGAAGACCAACCAGCUUCCCUGCCUGACUUCCAGGGUCCUGUCGGUAAUAGGCAUGGGCGGUAUGGCCCGCUUCUUACAGAUGGCACUGUCAGCUCCAGCCCUGAGCCCAGCCAUCACAAACACCGGAGCUACAAACACCUUGACCAGAGCCACAGGCCCAGCCAUAGCCCACCUUCAUCUCCACACACCCAGCAGCCCCAGCUACCCCACCACGCCCCGAUCCACACACAUUCUCCUCCUCCAGUACAAGGGCCAGAGUCGGAGUCUCCCUCCAGCAAGUCGGACUCGUCCCGGAACAGAGAACGAGACACGGCCAGCCCCAACUCCGAGCAGAGCGACCGCCACAGCCAGUCAACCUACCGCUGGUGUCCUACUUCAUAUAGGGCCCUGACGGGUGACAUAGGCGAACUCCAGACACUGCAGGAGCAGAAUGCUGAGCUGCACCAGAACCUGAUGCAAACAGUGGUCUGCAUCGAGAGCCUGGAGGCGGAGCUAGCCAGGGCCAGGGAGGAGCUUAGCCACAUGAAGGAGAAGUUCAAGAGGCUCCAGGACACACACACAGGUACCCAGCACACCAACAGCCUUCUGGGGGAGAAACUGCACUCAGCGACUGAGAGCCUUAGCUCUGAGAGGAAGUAUAUGGUGCAGCAUAUCGCCCAUCUCAGCACAGAGCUGGAGCAGGCCAACGCCACUAUCGCCUCUCUGGAGAACAUCAAUGUUCCCUGUCUGAUCAAGGAGCUCCUGGAGAAGCACUUUGACUCUGGAGACGCUGUCAAGCAGUUCCUGAAGAACGCCUUGAAAACUGGCCAAUCUACGGGCGACAUCCAAUCACCGGGUCCAAAACUGGAGCAGAAGCCGUCUGAUUGGUCAGGCGUAGGACUGAGGGAGUUUGAGGCGGGUCCACAAAAGGUCACUGCUUUUAUGCCCUGGAAGCAGGAGGAGGAGGGGUUUGGGGUGAUAGGUCAGACAGGAAAUGAGGAUUCUGGCUCAAUGAGUCCCCCUUUCUCCGUUGCUGACAUCAGUAUGGCUAUCUAUAAGAAGCUAGCUGUCAGCCAAGCAGCAAGACAGCCCCGGCCUUCCAACUACCAACCUCACACUGACACCCCUCCCAACCCCUACCCGCUGGUGGAGUUGGGUGCCGGGGGUGCAGGAGGUGCAGGGGGGGAGGGUUACCUUGUGCCUGCUGUCAAGGGGUGUGUGGCAGAGGCAGGGAGAGCAGCUGAGAGUAAGCAGGGUGCUGUUGUUGAUGUGUCCUAUCUGACGGCCC